rnacentral:rRNA from 1 species
UACGUAGGGUGCAAGCGUUAAUCGGAAUUAGCUAGGGCGUAACGUGCGCAGGCGGUGAUGUAAGACAGAUGUGAAAUCCCCGGGCUCAACCUGGGAACUGCAUUUGUGACUGCAUCGCUGGAGUGCGGCAGAGGGGGAUGGAAUUCCGCGUGUAGCAGUGAAAUGCGUAGAUAUGCGGAGGAACACCGAUGGCGAAGGCAAUCCCCUGGGCCUGCACUGACGCUCAUGCACGAAAGCGUGGGGAGCAAACAGG